CUCAGGAAAAGAACAACCAUCCAACACACAGACUAUCGUUUGUUUAUAAUAUUCUUUCCGACCACACACGAAAGGCCAAUUAAAGCUGUCGUUUCACAGUAUUGCACGAUACAUGCAUAUAGCCCUAUUGCAAUGAUAGCGCUGUGAACCGCGGAUAUUAGACAUUGCAGACAUGGAUUAUAAAUAUUUUCCCGGACUAUGACAAAGCAUUAGGGUAAUUCAAGAGGAUAUGAAAAAUUGAAGGUGCCUGAUUAACUGACGGUCCAACUAUCAUCUCAUCACUAUAGCUCCUAUAAUCUAUACUAUAGAUGUGGUUUUACUGGUUUAAAGGAGUCAGGACUCAAGAGAGGAGGCUGAGGAGCUACAGUAGGCAAUCAACGUAUUAAUGGAGUGAAGACUUUCAGUACAUAUCAUAACUUUAGCAUGAAGCUAUAAAAAAAAACACG